rnacentral:ncRNA from 1 species
AGAAAGAUAGUGAUGAGGAAGAGUAUUUAAAGAUAUUGUUUUUUAGAGAGCUAAGGGAUGGUGGGACUUAGUAAUGAUUCUUUUUAGAAGCAGCCUCUGAAUUGCUUAACUGAGAACUAAGACUAGAGCUUAAUGUAGGUUUAGACGUUACCUUUACGUUAUAAAGGAGGAAAUAAUUAUUAUUUCCACUGAGUGAACAAUUUUAUUUUGUUUAUGAGGGUGGUACCGCGGAAUUACAGCUUCGUCCCUUUU